rnacentral:ncRNA from 1 species
GACUGAUGCAAAGUCGCCAGAUGCUCAAAUGGGCAUGGAAAAGGCCUUGACAUCUUUAGCCUGUGGUUUGGCUGGUGGAAAUAUGAUUUAUGAGUC